rnacentral:rRNA from 1 species
AUUGAACGCUGGCGGCAUGCCUUACACAUGCAAGUCGAACGGUAAAAGGGGAAGCUGACGAGUGGCGAACGGGUGAGUAAUAUAUCGGAACGUGCCCAGUCGUGGGGGAUAACGUAGCGAAAGCUACGCUAAUACCGCAUACGAUCUACGGAUGAAAGCGGGGGAUCGCAAGACCUCGCGCGAUUGGAGCGGCCGAUAUCAGAUUAGGUUGUUGGUGAGGUAAAAGCUCACCAAGCCUGCGAUCUGUAGCUGGUCUGAGAGGACGGCCAGCCACACUGGAACUGAGACACGGUCCAGACUCCUACGGGAGGCAGCAGUGGGGAAUUUUGGACAAUGGACGCAAGUCUGAUCCAGCAAUGCCGCGUGCAGGACGAAGGCCUUCGGGUUGUAAACUGCUUUUGUACGGAACGAAACGGUGAGCUCUAAUACAGUUUGCUAAUGACGGUACCGUAAGAAUAAGCACCGGCUAACUACGUGCCAGCAGCCGCAGUAA